UGGGGAAUAUUGCGCAAUGGGCGGAAGCCUGACGCAGCAACGCCGCGUGCGGGAUGACGGCCUUCGGGGUUGNAAAACCGCUUUCAGCAGGGACGAAGCGUGAGUGACGGUACCUGCAGAAGAAGCACCGGCCAAACUACGUGCCAGCAGCCGCGGUGGUACGUAGGGUGCGAGCGUUGUCCGGAAUUAUUGGGCGUAAAGAGCUCGUAGGUGGUUGAUCGCGUCGAAAGUGAAAUCUCAGGGCUUAACCCUGAGCGUGCUUUCGAUACGGGUCGACUAGAGGAAGGUAGGGGAGAAUGGAAUUCCUGGUGGAGCGGUGGAAUGCGCAGAUAUCAGGAGGAACACCAGUGGCGAAGGCGGUUCUCUGGACCUUUCCUGACGCUGAGGAGCGAAAGCGUGGGGAGCAAACAGGCUUAGAUACCC
rnacentral:rRNA from 1 species